rnacentral:lncRNA from 10 species
GUGGUGCUGCUGCUGCUGCUGGUUGAGGAUCUGCAGCUGGAGGAAGAGCUGCUGCUGCUGCAGGAUCUUGGCGUAGGAUGAGUCCAUGGGGGGUGCCCCCCUGUCCUGCUUCUGGUCCGGGGGGAUGUACUGGUGGUACUUGAGCUUCUUCACCUUUGGCUUCAGCUCCUUGGCCUUCUUGCUGCGCUGUGACUUCUCACUGGCAGACUUGGGUUGGCUUUGCUGAGGGCACAGGAGACAGGGUGCCAUCCGUACACCCCGUGAAAAGCAGAAAUGUGCCCAGAAAUGUGCCAGGAAAGGGGCUGGAGUGACAAAGAGGGCUAUGCCUGACCCCCGACUUAAAAGCUUCUAGCUCAAGCAAAGACAUCACCAUGACCCCAAGCAGGGUGAACACAAGGAGGUAAAACCCAGCUGACUGAUGGAGCUCGGGCUGCGCCAGACCAGGCACCUUCCAAAGACGGGGCCACACAAGCCUCUCCAGAAUGCUGCUUGCUCUUCUCUUGCUCUUUUUGGGGCUGGGGGGAAUUCUGCCAGGUAGGAACUGUCGUGUCUAAGGAGAAUGAUCUUAACAGAGUAGUACCAUGCUGACUAGUGGUUCUUUGAUUUCUAACAAUUUAUAGCAAUUGUCUUUUAAUCCACUGAUAGGAAAGAAAGUAAAAUUAAGAACUGUAUUUAUUGGAAAACAGUUCCUAUUCCUUUUGGGUGGGGGUGUGAGGGAGGCAGGGUCUCACUCUGUUGCCCAGGCUAGAGUGCAGUGGCACAAUCUCAGCUCCCAGGCUAAGCGAUCCUCUUGCCUCAGCCUCCUAAGCUGUGACUACAGGCACUUGCUACCACAUCCAGCUAAUUUCUGUAUUUUUUGUAGAGAUUAGAUUUCGCCAUGUUGUCCAGGCUGGUCUCAAACUCCUGAGCUCAAGCAAUCCACUCACCUUGGCCUCCCAAAGUGCUGAAAUUACAGGCAUGAGCCACUACACCCAGCCCAGUUGCAUUCCUAAAUACUAGUUUUGACAUAACUUAGAGGUAGGUGUGUGUGUGUGUGUAUAUUAAAGCUGCUUUCAUAGUCACAACAUCAGUCUUGCUCUGUCAUCCAGGCUGGAGUGCAGUGGCAUGAACACAGCUCACUGCAACCUUGACCUUCUGGGUUUAAGGCUCAAGCCAUCCUCCUGUCUCAGCCUACUAAGUUGCUAAGGCCACAAGCAUGUGAUAUCAUGCCUGGCUAAUUUUUAAAAACUUUUUGGAGAGAUGGGGGUCUAUCUUGCCCCAGCUGGUUUCAAACUCCUGGGCUCAAGAGACCUUCCUGCCUUGGCCUCACCAUGUGCUGGGACUGCAAAUGUGAGCCACUGUGCCUGGCCUAAAACUCCACUUUCUAAUACAGUAGCAACUAGCCAAAUGUGACUAUUUAAUUAGAAUAGCCACAUGUGCCUAUUUAAAUCUAAAUUAAUUAAAAUUAAAUAAAAAUUAAAAUUCAGUUUUUCAACUCAAGUAUGUUCAACAGCACAUGCGGCUAAUGGUUAGUCUUAUAGAAAUAGUUCUAUCUUCACUUAACAUACUAUUGGACAGGGCUGGUCUAGCACCUAGUUCUUUUGAAUUCAUAACUUGGAGAAA